AUGCAAGUCGAGGGGUAGAGUAGCAAUACUUGAGACCGGCGCACGGGUGCGUAACGCGUAUGCAAUCUACCUUUUACAGAGGGAUAGCCCAGAGAAAUUUGGAUUAAUACCUCAUAGUAUAAUGAAUUGGCAUCAGUUUAUUAUUAAAGUUCCAACGGUAAAAGAUGAGCAUGCGUCCCAUUAGUUAGCUGGUAAGGUAACGGCUUACCAAGACGAUGAUGGGUAGGGGUCCUGAGAGGGAGAUCCCCCACACUGGUACUGAGACACGGACCAGACUCCUACGGGAGGCAGCAGUGAGGAAUAUUGGGCAAUGGACGCAAGUCUGACCCAGCCAUGCCGCGUGCAGGAAGACGCAUCUAUGGUGUGUAAACUGCUUUUGUACAGGAAGAACUGCUUUUACGUGUAGAAGUUUGACGGUACUGUAAGAAUAAGGAUCGGCUAACUCCGUGCCAGCAGCCGCGGUAAUACGGAGGAUCCAAGCGUUAUCCGGAAUCAUUGGGUUUAAAGGGUCCGUAGGCGGCUUUAUAAGUCAGUGGUGAAAUCCCGUCGCUCAACGAUGGAACUGCCAUUGAUACUGUAAGGCUUGAAUGAUUAUGAAGUAACUAGAAUAUGUGGUGUAGCGGUGAAAUGCUUAGAUAUUACAUGGAAUACCAAUUGCGAAGGCAGGUUACUAAUAAUUUAUUGACGCUGAUGGACGAAAGCGUGGGGAGCGAACAGGAUUAGAUACCCUGGUAGUCCACGCCGUAAACGAUGGAUACUAGUUGUUGGAAGUAAUUUCAGUGGCUAAGCGAAAGUGAUAAGUAUCCCACCUGGGGAGUACGUUCGCAAGAAUGAAACUCAAAGGAAUUGACGGGGGCCCGCACAAGCGGAGGAACAUGUGGUUUAAUUCGAUGAUACGCGAGGAACCU
rnacentral:rRNA from 1 species